rnacentral:rRNA from 1 species
UGCGUAGGCGGUGCGGUAAGUCUGUUGUGAAAUCUCCGGGCUCAACUCGGAGCCUGCAACGGAAACUGCCGUGCUGGAGUAUGGGAGAGGUGAGUGGAAUUCCCGGUGUAGCGGUGAAAUGCGUAGAUAUCGGGAGGAGGACCUGUGGCGAAAGCGGCUCACUGGACCAUUACUGACGCUGAUGCACGAAAGCUAGGGGAGCAAACAGGAUUAGAUACCCUGGUAGUCCUAGCCCUAAACGAUGAUCGCUUGGUGUGACAGGUACCCAAUCCUGUUGUGCCGGAGCUAACGCGUUAAGCGAUCCGCCUGGGGAGUACGGUCGCAAGGCUGAA